AUGACAUUCUCAAACUUCAUCACCGAUGAGACAAAUUUAAUCAAAAUUUCCUUGAGAUUAAUGAAAAAUCUAAAUGCCAAUCUUGGAGUUUUCUGUCCAAAUUGUUCGCUGUCAGUAAAUCAUGAACCCUAACAAUUUAUUCGAUAAAUCUGUUUUAGGUUUUUGGCCAUAGAAUAUGAAGAGUUUCAUUGUCACAGAAUGAAUUUGCCUUUAAAAUCAAUAAUCUGUUUUAAGUCGUACACGAGGUAUGCUUCCAUGUAUGGCAGCUCUUUCGCAUAGUAAUUGUGCUUCUGAAGACAUACUCCCAGAUGCCUGGAUAAAUUCAUUUUGCAGCAUAUGAGACAACGGAAACAUAUUUGUUAGUACCAACAAUCCAAGCACUCGCGGUUGCUGAUAUCAUAUUCAUCUCUUACAGAAUUUAGUAGCUCUACUUGUUCCCUCAUUGAGUACAAGUUUCCUUUUAUGUGUUUAAAUUCCUAAAGAAAUAUCUCAAGUGAUCUCCACGAGAAUACUAAAGAGAAAGAAACACAAAACAGGUACAUGAAAUAUAUGCAGAAAAUAUGCAACAAGAAUGAGCAGAAAAGCUUCAAAACCCCUCUGCGCAAUGCAAAAGUUUCAAAUCAAAACAAUAUAAAAGCAUUACAAGAAUGGAGAUAAUCAGUAAAACAUAGGAACCAUAAGAAUUUUUUUCUUAUCAUAAUCACUAAAUAGAAAAGCCAACAGCCAAAACAUUCACUUAAAUAAUGCAUAAUUGGUAUAAUAAAUGUUUAUAGAACUUGUCUUAUAAUUAGCAAUAUGUUCUAAAUACAUAAUCGUACAACACCUAUCCCUUUCAUCCAAUUUGCUCUAUGACAUGCAUUACUAUCUUAUUUGAUUCUCCCUUCUCGUAGUCAGAAGUUACUAGAAAAAUUAGACCAUGGAAAAUUUGUACAGCUCCAAAAGUUAGUGCACUCUCUACUUCAGCGAGAUCUUAAUGAAUAUUAUGAGUUCCUAGCAAUCCUUUCAGUUGUCUAAAUACUAAUCUACAUGCUCUUACUCUCAGUUGUUAAGAUCAGGUAGAUAAAUUCCAAUGCCCCUCUUAUUGAUCUUUUAUGUUACAAGUCAGCAGCAUUUAAAGGUAAAAUUGAAAAAACUGUAAAAAAUAUAGUGAACUGAACAACUUAACCUUGGACAUCUGAGCGAAGUGCAUAAAACAUCAUGUAAAACAGCCUCAUGAAACUUCACAGAACUCAGUCUCCGCAAGACAAACAGCCAAAACAUAAUUUUUCCCUUUAUCUAAAAAAAAGAUGGGUUCAUCUCAUUCUUUCAAUAAAUGAUAAAGAUAAUCUAAGUACACAUCUAGAAGCUUUUCGUGUUUACCUCUCAGGCUUUCACUGAAAAAGUUACUUUCUAAACCUGCAUAGUGCUUAUUCAAUGUAUUAUGUAUUCAUCUAGUCAGAAGUAAAAGCCAUUUGAUUCAUGUAAACAUGGGAUAACCCAUAUUGAUUACAACUUCCCAUUUAAUAGUAAGGACUUCCUUUAGUUAAUAACACCAUACAAGCAUUCAUUAAACAGUCUACACAGAAAAGAUAUUUGAAGCACAGAAAUGGGGACUCAUUAGAAUGAUUCUUAUCCUGACCCUUAUGAGCAUGGAAAAGGUGACGAAGGUU
rnacentral:lncRNA from 1 species